AUUUCCUGGGGACUUGAUCCCCUGAAGGGUCGUGGAAGACCACCACGUUGAUAGGUCAGGUGUGAGCGCAGUAAUGCGUUAAGCUAACUGAUACUAAUUGCCCGUGUGAGGCUUGACCCU
rnacentral:rRNA from 1 species